GGCUCCGUGGCUCAACUGGAUAGAGCAGCCCCCUCCUAAGGGGCAGGUUACAGGUUCAAGUCCUGUCGGAGUCGCCA
rnacentral:tRNA from 1 species